GACGAACGCUGGCGGCGUGCUUAACACAUGCAAGUCGAACGGAGUGGCGAACGGGUGAGUAACACGUGGGUGACAUGCCCUGCACUUCGGGAUAAGCAUGGGAAAAUGGGGCUAAUACCGGAUAGUGGGGGAUGGGCCCGCGGCCUAUCAGCUUGUUGGUGGGGUAAUGGCCUACCAAGGCGGCGGCGGGUAGCCGGCCUGAGAGGGUGGACGGCCACAUUGGUACUGAGACAGGGCCCAGACUCCUACGUGAGGCAGCAGUCGCGAAUAUUGCCCAAUGGGUCGAAGCCUGUUGCAGCGACGCCGCGUGGGUGAUGACGGCCUUCGGGUUGUAAACUCCUUUCACCAUCGACGCGGUAGAUGGAGAAGAAGCACCGGCUAACUACGUGCCAGCAGCCGCGGUAAUUC
rnacentral:rRNA from 1 species